UGGAAACUUAAAACUUUUACAGUAUUCAGAAUUCCUCCAAACAGAACAUAGGUAACCAGAACAUUUAAUCAAAAUCUGUUUGCAUAUUUACUAUUUAAAAUAGUAUUUUGUGAGCAGAAUGAUUUAUAAUUUUGCUUCUCUUCCCUCACUUGACUGUCUGUAGUCACAAAACUCAUGGGCUUUUAAUAGUACUAAAUCUCAGUUUCUUUGACUUCUUCAAGCACAUCACAAGGGACAGAGAGAGGCAGCACACGCACAUUGGUGUUGUUUCCUUAGGAGGUCAGGCUAAAGAUAUGCCUUGAGGUUCUUCUAUUGUACCAGAACUGUCCUGGAGGUUGCAAGCACUUUUUCCCAGGCUUAGUAUUUUGAGAAAUGGGAGUAUCAACUUAUUUCAUCACCCUGUAUUGUAAAAAAGUCAUAGCUUCAAUAUUAAACCUAAUCUGUGAGUCUUUUUUGGGUGUCCUCACAAAUAACCUGAAUUACCCAUCAAUACCAUCUGUCGUGGUUUAACCCCAGCCAGCAACUAGGACCAUGCAGCCACUCGCACGUUCCUCACCCCCCUCAAGUAGGGGUGGGAGAAGAGGGAGAAAAGGAGGGUAAAGGAAAAAACCUCAUGGGUUGAGAUAAAGGCAGCUUAACAGAAUGGUGAUGGAAGAGGGGAGAUAAUAAUAACGACGACGACAACAACAACAACAACAACAACAUACAAAAUAAGGUGAUAAAGCACAAGUUGCUCUCACCACCUGACAACUGGUUGCCCAGUCCAAGCAGUGAUCACAGAUCCCUGUCCCCUGGCCAACCCCCAUUUAUAUACUGAGUCUGUGGUAUGGAAUAUUCCUGUGGCCAUCUUGUCCUGUCUAUGCUCCCUCUCAGCUUCUAUGGGAAGCUGAAAAAAUCCUUGACUAAUAUAAACAUUACUUAGCAAUAACUAAAACAGUAUGUGUUAUCAACAUUCUUCUCAUAUUAAAUCCAAAACACAGUAGCUAUCCAAACACAGUAGCUACUAGAAAGAAAAUUAACUCUAUCCCAGCUGAAACCAGGACACCAUCUAAAGUGUUAAAGCAUCUUUUAAAAAUCAUAAAGUUCCAGCAGUUUUCCUAGGUAAUGUGCUAACCUUUCAUUCAUUCCUAUUAUUUUCCUUGGCAAUUGUGAAGUGACAAAUUGGUAAUAAGACUGGAACACAUUUACUAUACCCCAUUAAAGUCUUGAUUUUGGUACACUCACUGUAAAUCUCUGUAAAACGCAUAUUGACUCUUGAGCUGCAGACGCGUAAGCUUUUGAUGAAACAGAACUUGUGCCACAAUCAAUAUACAGGCCAAAACAGAAGUAAGAGAAGGACGCCUGCAAUUAAUAAUAAUUAGAUUUGAAUUUUACUAAUAGAAGGUUGAAUCUUCUUCCAUUUAAAUCAGUGGCAGAAUUCCAUAUUAGAUUUAACUUUUUCUGAGUCAGCAAAAUAUGCUUAGCUUUUGCAUGGGACUUUAUAUGCCUAAGGCACUGCAUACCCGUUAAUUAAAAAUAAGUAACUGAGACACCGAAAUGCUAUAUUUCAUCAAUACUAAGUUGACUCACUACAAAUAGAACAUCCGUUAUUUAAAAACAUUCUUUGGAGUGCUUACAGUUGAUUUUAUAAUCUACUCAUUUUAUAUUGUUUCAUCCCAAAUCUAAAGGUGUUCAAAUCUAAAAAGUUCCCUGAACUAUAAAAUGUAAAAGGAGACAAAGCUGUGAGAAAUGUAAAGAUUGUUUUGUAAGACUUGAAAAAAAAAAAAAAAAACAAAACAAAGAGCAAAACAACAUGAUAAUGACCCACAAAAAAACUUUUAUCCCAAAAAAAAAUUUUAUGGCAAUAAUUGACUUGAAAAAAAACCACAACUGAAUUACAGUAUUCAGUUACAGGAAGACUACUAAGUCUACCUGCUGAUCAUAUCAUACAUAGUGUGAUGCUGGCUUUGAGCCAGGUCCAAAUAAAUUGUUUCAGGGUAAAAAUUAUUUCCUGGACCAUUCAUUCCUGCGCGAUACUAGAAUGCCCCUCAGCCAUUACACUCGACAGAAGCUGACGGCUUUUACUUUGUUCCAGAUAAGGUGUAUAAGACUGCAGUUCAUAAAACAUCUUGUUGACAGCUUGUGUAUUCUACAUGCUUGCAUCAACUUUUCCCUCAGUAAAAUGCUUAGCUUUAAACAGGUGUGAAUUUGGCUGCUUUUUUAUGAUUAUUAUUUGAAUUAUAUGACACUUCAUUGGGUAUUUAUACGUCCCUCCUUCCUAUCACUGACAUAUCCUUUUCUUGCUUUUUGUUUGCCCUCUGCACAAAGCAGGGUCUUCCUUGAAAGUGAUGCAGGGUACAGUCGUGUUUGCGUUCGGUCUGGAAGGCCAUCUAGUGACACAACCGUGCAGCAGAAAAUGCAAAACCCUGUUUGAGUUGCUAUUUUUUUUUCCCCUUAGUUGAAUUAAAUCAUCUUGCUACACUCAAGCAUGCCCUCGGGGGUUUGUUGCUAUUCCCACAAGUGGCAUUUCAAAAAUUGUAGAGUAAUUUUUGAUUUCUUAAGAACUGACAGGGUUUAUUUAAGACGUAGCGCGCUGUUAAUCCCUGCUAAGAAAGAAACACCAUUUUUUUGUGCAGAAUGGUGGCAGAUUGCGACCCAAGCAGGUCUGUCACGAACUCAGCAUCACUCCCUGACCUGUGCAUCAUGGCCAAACGUAUCUGUCUGGUGUGAUCCCCGUGGAAUGAUCCCCUGACUUCCAUGGUACGAAACAACACCAGGCAGGUGCCUGGGGCCAUCGCAUCUUCACCACUAAAAUGUAAAAAUCCAGUUUAUUUUUAUCGCAGCUCACCUUGGAUGGGUGGCACUGGGUGAAUAAGCAAUAAGCAGAGCAGUCAGUUCCUACUCGAGCGGUAAGUACAGUAGAAAACAAGCAGCGAGUCACCGCCAUUCCCAGUACCAGCAACAAGAUGCAUUCAGGGAGGCACCUCAGGGGGGUCUCUGCCUCCCCCUGCCAUGGCUGGCCCUGCACUCGCUGCAUGCUCUUCCCUCACCCGUUGGGACUGGAAUCCGCUGCUGCAGGCAUUGAGGUUGAACUGGAAGACAUCCCCUCAGCUGCUGGCGACGUGAGGUAAACCAACAUGGCGCUCAAACUGGAAGACAUCCCCUUAGCCGCUGGCGACAUGAGGUAAACCAACAUGGCGCUCAAACUGGAAGACAUCCCCUUAGCCGCUGGCGACGUGAGGUAAACCAACAUGGUGCUUGAACUGGAAGACAUCCCCUCAGCCGCUGGCAACGUGAGGUAAGCCAACAUGGCGCUCCAACUGGAAGACAUUCCCCCGGCUACUGGCAACGUGAGGUAAACCAACAUGACGCUCAAGGUCCAAAGGGGCUCCCUGGGGGAAUAAAUGAGGAUGUCGGUGCCACAGUUGCUGGAUGGGGAUGAGCACCCAAGUGCAGGUAAAUGGUGGGUGGACUGGAAGUGCCAACAGGGCCCAAUGGCCCCGGGCAGAUGGAGGCCUUGGAAGCUCACCAGGAGGAUCGGGGUUUGGGAAGAGAAGCCUGACGGAGAGCUGAGGGGGCUCCCACGGCGCUCAGCGGGCUCGGGACCACCCCCGCGCCGGGCAGCCCUUGAGGAGCGGACGCCGCGGGCGCUCCGGGUCGCCGAGGGGGGCUCGCCACGCCGGGCUCCACCACCCCAGGGAUUCCGCGGCUUGAGCCCGCGGCGCGGCCCCGGGCGGGGCCCGGAGGCACCUGAGGCGCCGGCCCCCGCUGCGCGGCCAAUCCCCGGCGGGGCGCGGGCGGUGCCUGCCCGCCUCGGGGCGCCUGGAGCCCGGCGGCGGCGGUUUGGGGGGGAGUCGCGUCGUGCCCGUCCCGGCCCCGCUCCAUCAUGGAGGCGGCCAACGGGGCCCUGCCCGAGGGUGCGGCGGGGGGCUCCCGCGGCGGCGCGGCCGCCCCCUCGGGCAAGAAGGAGGUGAAGGUCGUGAUCGUGGGGGACGGCGGCUGCGGGAAGACGUCGCUGCUGAUGGUGUACGCCAAGGGCGCCUUCCCCGAGCAGUACGCGCCUUCCGUCUUCGAGAAGUACACGACCAGCGUUACGGUGGGGAAAAAGGAGGUCACCCUGAAUUUGUACGAUACCGCAGGGCAGGAGGACUACGAUCGGCUACGACCGCUUUCUUACCAGAACACAAACGUCGUGUUAAUUUGUUACGAUGUCAUGAACCCCACUAGCUAUGAUAAUGUAGCAGCUAAGUGGUAUCCUGAAGUGAAUCACUUCUGCCGAGGUGUCCCGCUCGUACUGAUCGGCUGCAAGACAGACCUUCGGAAAGACAAAGAACAGUUGCGCAAGCUCAGGGCUUCUAAGCAGGAACCCAUUACUUACAACCAGUCUUUUACAGCUGAUGGCAUCUUGAGUCACGCGACAUGAUGCUUGUGAUGCCAGGCACAGAGAAGCUGAACAGUAUCUGCCAGCGCUGCGGCUUGCAAACAACUGAAAGGAGACAAACUUCACUUAAAUGUGCUGAAGAAAAACCCCCCUAUAGAGGCCUGAGUGCUCAAGUGACCCCACUCCCAGGGCUUGUAAUGAAUAAACGCAGAGUUUGUGAGCUGUGGGCUGCAGACCUGGAAUUCACGCUCUAAGGCUCACAAGCAUUCAAACCUGGGGGCUGACUCUGCCAUGACAAUAAAAGGAUCACAAGCAAAGGUGAAGCAGCUUGUCAGCAGAUUAAUGCAGAAGUUUAUCUGGAGUGCUCAGCAAAAUGUCGCGAAAACAUAGAAAAUGUUUUUAAAGAAGCAACAACCAUUGCACUAAAUGCCAUGAAAAAAGCCAAGCGCCA